rnacentral:rRNA from 1 species
GACGAACGCUGGCGGCGUGCCUAAUACAUGCAAGUCGAGCGGAUCUUGUCCUUCGGGAUAAGAUUAGCGGCGGACGGGUGAGUAACACGUGGGUAACCUGCCUGUAAGACUGGGAUAACAUUCGGAAACGAAUGCUAAUACCGGAUACGCGGUUUGGUCGCAUGACCGAACCGGGAAAGAUGGAGCAAUCUAUCACUUACAGAUGGUCCCGCGGCGCAUUAGCUAGUUGGUGAGGUAACGGCUCACCAAGGCGACGAUGCGUAGCCGACCUGAGAGGGUGAUCGGCCACACUGGGGACUGAGACACGGGCCCAGACUCCUACGGGAGGCAGCAGUAGGGAAUCUUCCGCAAUGGACGAAAGUCUGACGGAGCAACGCCGCGUGAGUGAUGAAGGUUUUCGGAUCGUAAAGCUCUGUUGCCAGGGAAGAAUGCUUGGGAGAGUAACUGCUCCCAAGGUGACGGUACCUGAGAAGAAAGCCCCGGCUAACUACGUGCAGCAGCCGCGGUAAUACGUAGGGGGCAACGUUGUCCGGAAUCAUUGGGGCGUAAAAGCGCGCGCAGGCGGCCUUGUAAGUCUGUUGUUUAAAACU